CAAAAGUAGAGUUUAUCAUAUUUGGAAAAUAAACAAACAGAUAAACACAUAGAUAAGAACAGAUUGGUGGUUCCCAGAGGGGAAGUAGGUGAGAGAAGGGCGAAAGGGGUAAAGGGGCACAUACAUAUGGUGACAGAUUAAAAACUAGACUAUUGGUGGUGAAUGUGAUGCAGUCUAUACAGAAGCUGAAAUAUAAUAACAUACACUUGAAAUUUACACAAUGUUAUAAACCAAUGUGAGCUCAAUAAAAUAAUUAAGAAAUAAAAAAGAAGUAGAGUUUCUUUCCCCUUUCCUUUAAUCUGGGCUGCCCCUGUGACUGCUUUGGCCAAUGGAAUACAGCACAAGAUGGUCGAGGAUUUCUGAUCUCAGCCUUAGAAAGACUGGCAGCUUCUGUUUCAUUCCUCUUACAUGUUUGUUCUUGGGGUGGCCCCUCUCAGAGCCUAGCCCAAACCACACAGAGGAGAACCAAGACUCUCCUGUUAGCAGCCUCAGCUGAGCAUCUAGCCAACUGCCAGCCAUGUGAACACGUCAUUUGGGAUUCCGGCCCACUUGAGCCCCAGAUGACUGCAGAUCCAAGGGACAUCAUGUGGGGCAGAAGAACCACCUAGCUGAGGCCUGUUAAACCACAGACUCACGAAAGGGUUGGCUGUGUGACUGACAGAACACAGAAGUGAUGCAUGGUAUGUUACUCCCAAAAUUAGAUUACAGAAGACCUUGUAGCUCCUGUCUUGGUCACUCUCUUAGAUCACAUGUCAUGUUGUGACCAGUCUCAUUGAAAGAGCUCUACAUAAGUUGAUCAACUUGUCACUGGGUUGCCCAGGACUUUCCUGGUUUUAGACUGAAGGGAGGUGGGAGCUGUCUCAUCCUGAGAACUCCUCAGUCCUGGACAAACCGGGAUGAUAGGUCACCCUACAUCCAUAUGGUGAGGAACUCAGCCCACUGGACAACAGUGAGCAAGAAACUAAGGCCUCUUACCAACAGCUGCACGAGGGAGCCACCUUGGGAGCAACUCCUCCAGCCCCAGUCAAGCCUUGGGAUGACGGCAGCCCCAGCUGACAGCUUGACAGAAACCUCAUGAAGACCCUGAUCCAGAACCACCCAGAUUGGUUAUGGAUUAUUUUCGUCGACAGUUCUUGGCGUAGUCGCAGCAGGGUUUCAGAGGAGCCCACCAGAGACCACCUGGAAUCUACACUGAGCCAGCAUUCGGUACCAAUAAGGGCCCAUUGAGCCCCCUGGAUCACUGCAUUCUUCAGGUGACCCUGGCUUAAGAAAUCACCACGGAAGAAGAAAAAUAUAUAUGUAUAUAGGUUACAGCAAGAGGGAAAAGUAAUACUUUUGGCAACUCUCUCCCAGUGGCUCAUAUAGCCUCUACUAUUUGUGCUAUAUGCCCAAAGUAUAAUCCGGAGAAGCCACUUCAUGAGUCACAAAGCCACUUUCCCUUCCUAAGGGACCCUUUGAGGUAUGACCAUUGGACUUUGUCCAAAUGCCACCAUCUCAAGGAUAAAUACAUCUUGUAAUGAUCUGUAUAUUCUCACAUUGUUUUGAGGCUUUUCCUUGCAGAAGAGUGAUGGCUUUAGAUAAAUUAUUAUUGAAAAGAAUAAAUUCCUGUUUGAGGAAUUCCUACCGAGUUACGUUGUGACUGGGAAACUCAUUUCACCGGAUAAAUAAUUGAAUCUAUUUGUAAUGUUUGGCAAAUAUUGCUGCAUUUCCACUGCACUUACCAUCCUCAAUCCUCAGGAUUCGUAGAAAGAACUAAUGGCACAACCAAAACUUAAUUGGCAAAGAUUUCAGAAGCAUUUACUCUCUCAUGGCCCAAAGCUCUUGUGCUAGCGCUCCUUAAUGUUAGAUCUACACAUUUUGUAAACAUCAGCUGUCUCCUUUUGAAAUAAUAAUAAAACAGCCUAUGCAAUUAGAUGAAGAAAUAUAUGAACCAAGCUUUGCUUAAGGGGUAUAUUAAAUUGUUGUCAUGGUCUUAUUGAGGUGCUUAAAGAAAUGAAAGAUUGGUAGCUGAUUCUUUCUCAGAGAGCUCCCAGAACUUAAGGAUCUUGGACUAUAACCUGGAGAGUUUAUUUAUUGAAAGAGACAUCAAAUAAGACUGUUUGCAGCCCUGUUGGAAGGGACCAUACCAGGAGGAGAAGAAGACGGCAUCUGUUGUAGACAGCUGUCCCAAGACUCCGGACCAGGCCUGUAUUCCUGACCUUAUAUCUCCUCAUUUAAACUUUUGUUAUGCUUAAACUGUAUACCUAUUUUAUAAUUUGUUUGGAAUACUAUCAUACUUAAAGAAAGGGAUUCAUUUGGAACAGACUGAUCUUGAAGGCCAGGAAUUUAUUGAGUGACUCCUAAUGGAACUCAAUGGUUAUGUGGAACAAAUCUUUGGCCUUGGCUACUGCCUGGAUGGCUAAAACACUACACCCUGAGUUUCCUUUAAAAGCAGAGAGGGAGUCAGGCUGAGUUAAAACCUGUUGCCAAUCUCCCUCUCUUUAAGGCCAGAUGGGCUCGUUCAGUGCUCCACUGGUAAGGCUAUAUUAGCAACUAUAUGUGCUUCUUCUUUGGGGCUAAAAGAUGUCGUUAUUACAUAUGGAAUCUCUGACUACAUUUACUCAAGAAGCCCUUAAUGAUAGUCAAGCAGGAAUACCCUUAUUUAAAUAGUGAAAUGUCUUUAAUGAGAAGGGCUGUCCUUCAAAACAGCAUGGCUUUAGAUAUUCUUACUGCAUCCCAAGGUGGUACAUAUACAAUCAUUCAGACUGAAUGCUGUGUUUUUAUAUGUGAUGAAUCUUCCAAUGUGUCAUCUCUGCUAAAGCACAUGAAGAAGCAAGUGGCUGCCUUAUGUGAAUCCUGCACCCCCUUUGAUUUGUUUGCUUGGCUCCCUUUUCAGUAUCAGUUCCCUUUUUCGAUCCGGAUUGCAAUUCCUAUUUCUAUUACUUAUUGGAAUCCUUGUACUGGUCAUAAUAUUCAAACUAAUUAUUGUUUUCUUUACUCGGUAUUGUAAGAGUAGCAUACAAACUAAAGUAAUGAUUGCUUGAUGGCUUAAAAUGGUCGAUCUAUCUUAUAAUCCUGGACAAAUUUCCUUUUCUGAUAAAGACUUUACCUAAGAACUCAUUUUAAACUAAUAUCUUCAAAAAUAUUGAAUUAUUAUUACUGUACUUGUUCUAUAAUCAUAUACAAUGUAAAUGCAAAAUGUCAUAGAGAAGCACAUAUACGUUUGUGAAACAAUCUAAAAUUAAUUAUAAAUUACAUGACAUAUGAAAUGCUUCCUCUGUUAAUACAUAUAUAUCCAUGCUUGUCCACUAUUUCCCACCAACGUGGAUGACUAAGCAAAUAAUGAGAUAAAAGCCUAGCACCGAGGGACAUGGUGGACCCAGGGCAGGCAGCAACCACCCUGGCACCGAGGGACAAUAUUUUGAUCAUCAAUGCUUUCUAUCGAAAGAUUAGAGAUCAAAAGGGGAAAAUGACAAAUAAAAAUGGCAAGCAAUAGUAUAUAUUGGAGAAUAUGAGGAAGCCAUUUGGUGUAAACCUAAUUCGGCCUGACCUUGUCUUUCCAAAAGUGGCUGACCGUGACUGUUGAGCAUGCAUUGUAUGUCUGCUUUAGAGAUUCCCUAUGGCAAGAACAAAGGCCCUUGAGAUAAAGGUGCAACUUCCCUCCCCCUCCCAACGUUGGCAUUCCCUUAAGGAUUAAGCAUCUUUCCUCAGGCUAGGAACUGAUUGCUGUGCUCACCUAUGACCACCCAGCUCGAGACAAUAGGCUUGCCUCCUGCUACGCCCUCUGAGAGAGCAGACCCACUGCCUGCUGUGUCCAUCAAGCGCUGUGCCAAUAGGGCAAUCUUGUGACUAUUGUAGGAGGGACAUUUCAAUCAUAUGUGAAACAUCCUGUAUGGGGGUGUAUGACCACUCUGUAUACCUCACUUCUUUGGUGACCUUUCUCCCUUUAGGAAGCAAGGCCCUUGGCCAUGGUCCUCAGAUUUCAGCUCAGAAUAAACUCACCCAAAUUUUCAUUUAUAGAUUGGUUAUGGAUUAUUUUCGUGGACAGGGAGAAAAACAAUUCCCUUGAAACUCACACCCAUUCAGGCAGAGAGUUAAUCAUCGUUGAUCAUUUAGUGCAGACCUCAUCAAUCUUAAAUAGCUUUGACAGCUGGAAAAAUUAAGAUUGUGUCAGGACUCCUGUUGGUUUUGAAAAGAUUAUAAAUUCUCUUAUUUCAAAAGGGCCAGGUGAAAGCUUUUUAAAUCCUGUCAAGAAUUUUAGCCUGUAUCCUGAGAGCAAUGGGUAGCCAUUGACUGGUUUUAAAAAAGGAGUGAUGACCUGAUCUGAUCUUUUGAUCUAGAAACAACCCCCUGGUUGGAAGGGCAGCUGUAGGGUUAGUGGUUAAUGAGACGG
rnacentral:lncRNA from 1 species